ensembl:lncRNA
CUUAAAGAAAAAGAAGAAAAGAAGUAAAGAAAAAAGAAGAAAAUGCAUUAGGUUGAACCAUAACUUGGAGAGAUCUGAAAGCCACUAACAGAUGGGCGUUUUUCAUCAUGAAGUGGUGUUUUUUAAAGAAUGUAAAUAUUUAUGUUGCUGGUGGUAUAGGACUCGAUUUUAAAAUUGAUAGAAGAGGAAUUUUUUGUAAUCAAACAAGUUCCUGUUUCUGCUCUGAAAAUAAAGGGAAAUCUUCAAGAGUGAGGCACCUGAUUGAGGAAGAAAGUACUGUCUAAUCAAAACAAGAUCAAGAACAAAGAUCCAAGAAGUAUGAGAAAGAAAGAAGAAGGAAUUCAGUCCUCAAUAAUGAGACAUCAGAAGAGAUGCCAAGGGAAAAGACAGGGUUGUUGUACAUGAAAACACACAGCCCUAGAACCAGACAUCGUGCCUUUCUGGGAGGAGACUCUGCCAGACUUGCUUGCAUCAUCUUGCUUGGAUUUGCAGGGUGUAUCUCCUGAGAUAACUACAGCUUGAUUGAUAUUCU